CACGUAGGGUGCGAGCGUUGUCCGGAAUCAUUGGGCGUAAAGAGCGUGUAGGCGGCCCGAUAAGUCCGCUGUGAAAGUCGAGGGCUCAACCCUCGAAUGCCGGCGGAUACUGUCGGGCUAGAGUCCGGAAGAGGCGAGUGGAAUUCCUGGUGUAGCGGUGAAAUGCGCAGAUAUCAGGAGGAACACCAACGGCGAAGGCAGCUCGCUGGGACGGUACUGACGCUGAGACGCGAAAGCGUGGGGAGCAAACAGG
rnacentral:rRNA from 1 species